rnacentral:piRNA from 1 species
CAAAAGUGGCUUCCCUUGGUCUGUGCCU